rnacentral:sRNA from 1 species
AUAUUAGAAAACUGCCGAAGACAGUAGGUGCCGUAAGGCAUAAGUAGUGAACGCCUACCGAGGAGAUUUGAAUUCGAUGAAUUAUGUGAAUUUACUGUCCUCUUGUCGUAUGGCGAGAGGAUUUUUUAUCUU